rnacentral:rRNA from 1 species
GAUGAACGCUAGCGGCAGGCUUAACACAUGCAAGUCGAGGGGUAGGAGAAGCUUGCUUUUCUGAGACCGGCGCACGGGUGCGUAACGCGUAUGCAAUCUACCUUUCACAGAGGGAUAGCCCAGAGAAAUUUGGAUUAAUACCUCAUAGUAUAAUUGAAUGGCAUCAUUUAAUUAUUAAAGAUUUAUCGGUGAAAGAUGAGCAUGCGUCCCAUUAGCUAGUUGGUAUGGUAACGGCAUACCAAGGCAACGAUGGGUAGGGGUCCUGAGAGGGAGAUCCCCCACACUGGUACUGAGACACGGACCAGACUCCUACGGGAGGCAGCAGUGAGGAAUAUUGGACAAUGGGCGCAAGCCUGAUCCAGCCAUGCCGCGUGCAGGAUGACGGUCCUAUGGAUUGUAAACUGCUUUUAUACAGGAAGAAACCCCUCUACGUGUAGAGACUUGACGGUACUGUAAGAAUAAGGAUCGGCUAACUCCGUGCCAGCAGCCGCGGUAAUACGGAGGAUCCAAGCGUUAUCCGGAAUCAUUGGGUUUAAAGGGUCCGUAGGCGGUCAGGUAAGUCAGUGGUGAAAGCCCAUCGCUCAACGGUGGAACGGCCAUUGAUACUGUCUGACUUGAAUUAUUAGGAAGUAACUAGAAUAUGUAGUGUAGCGGUGAAAUGCUUAGAGAUUACAUGGAAUACCAAUUGCGAAGGCAGGUUACUACUAAUUGAUUGACGCUGAUGGACGAAAGCGUGGGUAGCGAACAGGAUUAGAUACCCUGGUAGUCCACGCCGUAAACGAUGGAUACUAGCUGUUGGGAGCAAUCUCAGUGGCUAAGCGAAAGUGAUAAGUAUCCCACCUGGGGAGUACGAACGCAAGUUUGAAACUCAAAGGAAUUGACGGGGGCCCGCACAAGCGGUGGAGCAUGUGGUUUAAUUCGAUGAUACGCGAGGAACCUUACCAAGGCUUAAAUGUAGAUUGACCGUUUGGAAACAGAACUUCGCA